rnacentral:rRNA from 1 species
GACAGAGGGUGCAAACGUUGUUCGGAAUCACUGGGCGUAAAGCGCACGUAGGCGGCUUCUUAAGUCGGGGGUGAAAUCCUGGAGCUCAACUCCAGAACUGCCUUCGAUACUGAGGAGCUUGAGUCCGGGAGAGGUGAGUGGAACUGCGAGUGUAGAGGUGAAAUUCGUAGAUAUUCGCAAGAACACCAGUGGCGAAGGCGGCUCACUGGCCCGGUACUGACGCUGAGGUGCGAAAGCGUGGGGAGCAAACAGGG